rnacentral:rRNA from 1 species
UACGUAGGGGGCAAGCGUUGUCCGGAUUUACUGGGCGUAAAGAGCGUGUAGGCGGCCAUACAGGUCAGCUGUGAAAACUCGAGGCUCAACCUCGAGACGUCGGUUGAAACCGUAUGGCUAGAGUCCGGAAGAGGAGAGUGGAAUUCCCGGUGUAGCGGUGAAAUGCGCAGAUAUCGGGAAGAACACCCGUGGCGAAGGCGGCUCUCUGGGACGGUACUGACGCUGAGACGCGAAAGCGUGGGGAGCGAACAGG